UAGGGAAUCUUCGGCAAUGGACGAAAGUCUGACCGAGCAACGCCGCGUGAGUGAAGAAGGUUUUCGGAUCGUAAAAUUCCGUUGUUAGAGAGGAAUGUUGAUUAGAGUGGAAAAUUAAUCAAGUGACGGUAUCUAACCAGAAAGGGACGGCUAACUACGUGCCAGCAGCCGCGGUAAUACGUAGGUCCCGAGCGUUGUCCGGAUUUAUUGGGCGUAAAGCGAGCGCAGGUGGUUUAAUAAGUCUGAUGUAAAAGGCAGUGGCUCAACCAUUGUAUGCAUUGGAAACUGGUAGACUUGAGGACAGGAGAGGAGAGUGGAAUUCCAUGUGUAGCGGUGAAAUGCGUAGAUAUAUGGAGGAACACCGGUGGCGAAGGCGGCUCUCUGGCCUGUAACUGACACUGAGGCGCGAAAGCGUGGGGAGCAAACA
rnacentral:rRNA from 1 species